GACGAACGCUGGCGGCGUGCUUAACACAUGCAAGUCGAACGGUGAAGCGCCUUCCUUUUUGGUGGGUGUGGAUGAGUGGCGAACGGGUGAGUAACACGUGAGUAACCUGCCCCCUUCUUCUGGAUAACCGCAUGAAAGUGUGGCUAAUACGGGAUAUUCUGGGUCUGUCGCAUGAUGGGUCUGGGAAAGAUAUUGUUUCGGUGGGGGAUGGGCGGGCGUCCGAUCAGCUUGUUGGGGGGGUGAUGGCCUACCAAGGCGGGGACGGGUAGCCGGCCUGGGAGGGUGGCCGGCCUGAGAGGGACUGCGGCCCGGCCCAGACUCCGACGGGAGGCAGCAGUGGAGAAUAGGGCACAGUGGGGGCAAGCCUGAUGCAGCGACGCCGCGUGAGGGAUGGAGGCCUGCGGGUUGUGAACCUCUUUCGCCAGUGAAGCAGGCCUGCCUCGUUUGUGGGUGGGUUGACGGUAGCUGGAUAAGAAGCGCCGGCUAACUACGUG
rnacentral:rRNA from 1 species